rnacentral:lncRNA from 1 species
AUGAUUCCUGGGAAAUCUUUCCCAAUUGUUCCCCAGGGACCAAAGUGGGCUGUUUCCUCCACCUUCCUAAUUACUUACGGGCAGUCCUCUCAGACAGGAGCUCAAGAAAAUUUGGAGUGGAAGUUUUCGAGAGACAGAGCCUCACCCUGCUCACGCCUUCGGGGGCUACGGCAGGACACAGGGAAGAUGGUGGCCUGCCCUCACAGAGCCCACAGGUCAGUGCAUCCUUCAUGUUCCCACAGCAGCCAGCUCAGCGCUGAGCACACCCCCGACAGCCGUUUCCUCGCAUGGUGGGCUGUACGUCCUGAGCUGUCCACACACUGGGGGGCAAAUUAAUCUGCUCAGGCUGCCAUAACAGAGCACUACAAACAGGGACCUUAAACAACAGAGAUUUAUUUUCUUGAGUUCUGGAGACUGGAAGCCCAAGAUCAAGGUGUCAGCAGGGUUGGUUUCCCUGGAGGCCUCUCUCCUUGGCUUGUAGAUGGCCAUCUCCUCCCUGUGUCCUCAUGUGGUCUUCCCUCUGUGUGUGUCUGUGUCCUAAUCUCCUCUCCUUAUAGGGACACCAGUCCUAUUGGAUCAGGGCCAGCCCACAUGACCUCACUUUACUUCACCUCUUUGAGGCCCCGUCUCCAAAUGCAGUCACAUUCUGAGGUCCUGGGGGUUAGGCCUUCAAUAUACGAAUUUUAGGGGAACAUAAUUCAGCCUGUAAUAGGGGUAUUUGGGGUACUCUUUCUCUAAAAUCAUCUCCGGGAACUCAUUGAUUCUGCAAGUGGUCAAGUGGUCGGAGAAAUACAGCAAUAAAUGGAAAGGAAGGACAGCA